UGAAACCGAAGCCGGUUUCGGGUGUGUUAACUUUCUAUGCCCGGUAGCGCUGAUUGCCAAGACAACGACAGCCCAAUUCAUUCAGCGGUCUCGCCUUUCAGCGGCAGCAGCUGCUCCAAGUUCUUUGGGCCACCGUCCCCCUUUGUUACCGCCUUUGUGUUCUUGGCCAGUUGCUUUGCAUGGUCAGAAUCUGGAAUCUCUACAGGCUAUUCCAGUUCGAUUUAUCACGGGCAAAGUUAUGAUCGCCUAAGUGCCGUCGUUUAGGGUUCCUGUUUUAGCCUCUGCGAUUGCUCCUCAUAAAUUCUUCCCAUGACAACACUAAUUGCAACUUGCUGGAAGUAAUAAGAGGCUGGGAACAAUUUCAUCUACUUAUGCAGCAAUAAAUCCAAUUGGCUUUCACAGAUCUAGACUUCUUAUCCAUGAAUAUUUUGCCAGAUUAACAUUGAUGAAUUCCUACGCAAGCGAGUCUCUCUGAAGUUUUCUUAAAUAAAUUCUUUCUACACUAAAUUUAUACAACAAAGUUCAAACAUUUAUUUUUUGGGUGGCAUAUGUAGGCAAAUUUAAAUUGUAAUGGGCUUAGACAAACGCGUCAACCGAACUCAAAAUGAUAUUCAUUUAUACUCGAUUUGGAAACCACAAAACUAUAAAUUAUUAAUUGUUCUUCAGUUCACACUUUCCGCGACCAUCGAAAACAUAUCAGUGGACAAUCGUAUUUGACAGUCCAUAAUUGCUGGCAAAUUAGAAUUAUUUAUUCAACAAAACCCAUUCUGAUUGCCAUCCGUGCAGAGUUUGUAAUUCAUAAUCGAUGUAUGUGCAGUAUGAAGAGAUCGUUUCCAUGUUUUGGCUGUGACGGAAGUCUGACCCCAUCGCAUCGGAACCCAAACUAUAUACACAGAACGCGGAACUCUUGCAGAAAGAGGCCAUAAAUAUUGUUCAUUUGUAAAUAAAUGGCUAACAGAAAAAACAAAAAACCACGAGUAGUGAAAAUCCAACAACUCGCAGAGCAUAUAAAACACGGUUCAUGUUCGUUUCCAGCACUUGGUUUUCUAUUUCCAAGCCAAACAUUAGAUGGUGUUCCCUGUCGCUGUGUGGGUGCUCAAUUUUUAUUGCAGUAUCAUCUUCCGGUCACUUUGUCAGGCCUCCAAUACAUUUCUCAAACAGUUACGACGGGACAAGUGGCUCCAGCGCGUGUGCCUACUUGGGUUCGAACUUGAGUUAUGAAAACCAGAAACGGAGUCCAAGAAGUAAUAGAACUACGUCCGACAAACGGAAGUCGGAUAGACAAUGUCGAAGCGUGGAUGGGUGCCAUCUAAGGGCUACACUGGGAGAAAUGUGUUGCUGAAGGUGAUAUUAUAUGACAGCCUGGUUGCAAACUACAAGUCUGCAAGUAUCUGGUUUAUAUUUCACUUAUAGAAAUUGUAUAAUGAGUGAUAAAAACAUAACUAUUCAA